AUUGAACGCUGGCGGCAGGCCUAACACAUGCAAGUCGAGCGCGAAAGUCUUCGGAUGAGUAAAGCGGCGAACGGGUGAGUAAUGCAUGGGAAUCUGCCUGGUAGUGGGGGACAACGUCUCGAAAGGGACGCUAAUACCGCAUACGCCCUACGGGGGAAAGGGGGGGAUCUUCGGACCUCUCGCUAUCAGAUGAGCCCAUGUCAGAUUAGCUAGUUGGUGAGGUAAAGGCUCACCAAGGCGACGAUCUGUAACUGGUCUGAGAGGAUGAUCAGUCACACUGGAACUGAGACACGGUCCAGACUCCUACGGGAGCAGCAGUGGGAAUAUUGGACAAUGGGGGCAACCCUGAUCCAGCCAUGCCGCGUGUGUGAAGAAGGCCCUAGGGUUGUAAAGCACUUUCAGUGGGGAGAAAGGUUAUUCACCUAAUACGUGAGUAGAUUGAUGUUACCCACAGAAGAAGCACCGGCUAACUCCGUGCCAGCAGCCG
rnacentral:rRNA from 1 species